UACGGGGGGAGCAAGCGUUGUUCGGAUUUACUGGGCGUAAAGGGCGCGUAGGCGGUCAGCACAAGUCAGUUGUGAAAUCUCCGAGCUUAACUCGGAAAGGUCAACUGAUACUGUGCGACUAGAGUGCAGAAGGGGCAACUGGAAUUCUCGGUGUAGCGGUGAAAUGCGUAGAUAUCGAGAGGAGCACCUGCGGCGAAGGCGGGUUGCUGGGCUGACACUGACGCUGAGGCGCGAAAGCUAGGGGAGCGAACGGG
rnacentral:rRNA from 1 species